GUCCAGGGAUGGGAAUCGAACCCACAGUGUUCUGCUUACCGGGCAGAUGCCAUGUCCACUAGGCUACCCUGGA